rnacentral:tRNA from 1 species
GGGGGAUUAGCUCAGCUGGCUAGAGCGCCUGCUUUGCAAGCAGGAGGUCGUCGGUUCGACUCCGACAUUCUCCACAA